rnacentral:rRNA from 1 species
GAUCCUGGCUCAGGAUGAACGCUAGCGGCAGGCCUAACACAUGCAAGUCGAGGGGCAGCACGGUGUAGCAAUACACUGGUGGCGACCGGCGCACGGGUGCGUAACGCGUAUGCAACCUACCCAUAACAGGGGGAUAACACUGAGAAAUUGGUACUAAUACCCCAUAACAUCAGGACCGGCAUCGGUUCUGGUUGAAAAACUCCGGUGGUUAUGGAUGGGCAUGCGUUGUAUUAGCUGGUUGGUGG